CCUACGGGAGGCAGCAGUAGGGAAUCUUCCACAAUGGGCGCAAGCCUGAUGGAGCAACACCGCGUGAGUGAAGAAGGGUUUCGGCUCGUAAAGCUCUGUUGUUGGAGAAGAACGUGCGUGAGAGUAACUGUUCACGCAGUGACGGUAUCCAACCAGCAAGUCACGGCUAACUACGUGCCAGCAGCCGCGGUAAUACGUAGGUGGCAAGCGUUAUCCGGAUUUAUUGGGCGUAAAGCGAGCGCAGGCGGUUGCUUAGGUCUGAUGUGAAAGCCUUCGGCUUAACCGAAGAAGUGCAUCGGAAACCGGGCAACUUGAGUGCAGAAGAGGACAGUGGAACUCCAUGUGUAGCGGUGGAAUGCGUAGAUAUAUGGAAGAACACCAGUGGUGAAGGCGGCUGUCUGGUCUGCAACUGACGCUGAGGCUCGAAAGCAUGGGUAGCGAACAGGAUUAGAUACCCCUGUAGUC
rnacentral:rRNA from 1 species